AACGCGGCCGACGUGGGUCAAAGUUAAGUAUCUAUGCCUAUCAGCUUAACAUCUGACACGGUUGUAUUUGGACCUAAGGUAUUAAACUUAUUUUUUGCGAGUUGGUGGAGUGCUUAAAGCCUGCUUCACAUCCACCGCGGGUCGGUCCGGUAUUGCUCCACCUUCGGGAUCGACCCACAUUCU